rnacentral:pre_miRNA from 1 species
CAACUACUCCCUCUGUCCCAAAUUUCUUGUCUUAGAUUUGUCUAGAUACGGAUGUAUCUAAUACUAAAAUGUGACUUGAUACAUCCGUAUCUANGAUACAUCCGUAUCUAGACAAAUCUAAGACAAGAAUUUUGGGACGGAGGAAGUACUUU